GGGACAGAAAAUGAAAUAAGAGAUACCGGGUCACACCCUGAUCCAAGCUGGAGUGCAGUGGCCCUAUCAACUCACUGCAGCCUCGACCUCCUGGGCUCAAGGGAUCUUACUGCCUCAGCCCCACCACUAGCUGGAACUACAGGCCCAUGCCACCACACUCAGCUAAUUAGUAGUAUUUAUUUAUUUAUUUGUUUAUUUAUUCUUAGUGGAGAUGAGGUUUUCCUAGGUCGACCAGACUGGUCUCCAAUCCCUGGGCUCAAGCAUUCCUCCCACCUUGGCCUCCCAAAGAGCUGGGAUUACAGCCGUGAGCCACAGUGCCUGACCAAAAAAAUACAUUUUAAAUUGACUUGCUUAUCUGCAUUUGAAAAUUCACUAUUCUAAUAACAAAGAGGCUGUGUCCCAAAAAUCACACAGAUAGGAGGCAAAAAGCCACCAUUACAAGUAUCCCAGCUCAAGCCAAGUUCCCCAGCCAUCACUUCCAUCUUGGAAGCCACCCCGCCUUUCUUCACAUGGUCAUUCACCCAGGUACCAUCUCCAGCCCCCUGAAGUGUAAUGGUAAUUCGAUCUUUCUCAGCCUUUGUGAAGGGCAGUUCAACUGUUUCAGUCUCCCUGGCUGCUACCCAAAUAAACGUACUCCCAAAGAGAAGGAACUAGCCCUCUAAUGAUUUAUGCAGCCAUUCAGACCUUUAUUAAAAGGAGCUUUUGCUCUCUUAGGAUUUAUUCUCUUUCUGACAGCGGCACUGUUAUCUACUGUGCCAUAUAGUAUCAAAAGUAAUUUAAACAAGUAGUUUCAAAUAUAAAUUAAAGCAGAA
rnacentral:lncRNA from 10 species